rnacentral:lncRNA from 10 species
GGGCAACAUAGGGAGAACCUGCCUCUAUUUUUUUAAAAAAGUGCAACAUCAAAAUUGGGGGGCCUGUUAUAGCAGGAGAAAUCCCCCCUAAUAAGCAACACAGCACCACUAAUGUUCUUUUGAAUUAUUCUUGUAUUCUAAAAUAGAUAACUCUUUAGUAAAACAAUUCAUAAGUCUUAAUCCAUGCACCUAAUAAACACUUUUCUGGUCAUUUAUGAAUACAGCCAAGCUUUGUAGGAAGAUCAACACGUAAGUGCUGCCCCCAGAACGGCUCGGAUUCCCUAACCUCACCCUGGUUUCCCUGGUGAGCAGUGUCAGGGUUCACAGGCUUGCACAUAUUCCAGAUCUUUUUCUUUGAGUCCAUAGGGUUUUUGCUUUUCUGUUUUGUUUUCUACCAGAAGCUCUUGUCUAUGUUUUAUUUUAGUAAAUAAUCAGCUGCCACAGAAAGAAGCUCAGCGUUUCCAUCACCAUUUCCUGUGUUAAAGCCCCUGGAAGUGGGAGCCAGGGCAUGCACAGGCGGUGGCCAGGCUGAGGCCCUCUGCCCAGCCCUGUGUUUCCCUACUUCAUUCUGUUUCUGUUUCCUGUGCAGGCCCCUCUUAAAUUACUUUUCUAAAUUAAUGACAAUACUAUCUCGCAGUUUCUUAUCGAAGCCCUGAGUCAUCUUUUAUCUUUUUCUUAGAUUUCAUAUCCGGUCGACAACCUCUUCUGCCGUAUUUUAUGCCCUGAACCGGCCUGAGCCUCAUGUCCUGUGUUCUCGGCUCCAGCCUGCUGACAUCACUUCUACACCAUGGCUCUUGUUUAUGUGAUGGCCCCGACGGUCUCCCCACCUCCAGCUCCAGUCCAUUUUCUGGGCUUUACUCACAUGUCUUAAAGAAACACCAUUGAACUCCCCUAUUUGCAAGCUGGAAGGUCCCUCCCCUGCUACAGGACAAAGAUCUGUCAUCUCUGCCUUCAUCUCUUACUCCCAGAACACACCCAAGAGCCCUGUCUCCAGUCACACUAAUCUCCCCAUUCUCCCACGGACGUAUCCCUGUGCCCUUCAAGACACACACACAUGCACACAAACACACACACACCCCAAUGAUUUUCUUUCUUUCUUUCUUUCUUUUUUUUGAGAUGAAGUCUCCACAAUCUCGGCUCACUGCAAUCUCUGUCUCCCGGGUUCAAGUGAUUCUCCCACCUCAGUCUCCCAAGUAGCUGGGACUAGAAGCUAUAGGCAUGUGCCACCACAUCUGGCUAAUUUUUGUACUUUCAGUAGACAUGAGAUUUCACCAUGUUGGCCAGGCUGGUCUUGAACUCCUGACCUCAUGUGAGUUGCCCGCCUCAGCCUCCCAAAGUGCUGGGAUUACAGGCGUGAACCACUGCACCUGGCCUGAUUUUCUACACACAGUCAUCUGCCUGGAAUCUCGCGCUUCUGCUUCUGGCCUGGAAAAAAUUGAUUCAUCCUUGAAGACUCCACUCAACUGGCACUUCUUCCAUGAAGGCUUCCCCAAAAUGCCAGAAGGCAUCGGUUGCUGCGCCCUUGACUGCACUGGUCUCAUCUUUCCUGCUAGGCUCUGACCUCCUCCAGAGACUGGACUUGCCUUUUUCUUCUUUCCUCUCCAGUGUCUGUGACUGAGUUUGUCAUGCAGUAGCCGUUAGGCAGUGCUUUCCUGAGACUGGGUAACUUACAAAGAAGAAGAGGUUUAAUGGACUCACAGUUCCAUGUGGCUGGGGAGGCCCCACAAUCAAGGUGGAAGGCGAAAGGCGAAAGGCACAGGCAGCAGGCGAGAGAGAGAAUGAGAACC